GAUGAACGCUGGCGGCGUGCUUAACACAUGCAAGUCGAACGGAAAGGCCCAAGCUUGCUUGGGUACUCGAGUGGCGAACGGGUGAGUAACACGUGGGUGAUCUGCCCUGCACUUCGGGAUAAGCCUGGGAAACUGGGUCUAAUACCGGAUAGGAACACUUCUUGGAUGUUGUGGUGGAAAGUUUUUUCGGUGUGGGAUGAGCUCGCGGCCUAUCAGCUUGUUGGUGGGGUAAUGGCCUACCAAGGCGUCGACGGGUAGCCGGCCUGAGAGGGUGUACGGCCACAUUGGGACUGAGAUACGGCCCAGACUCCUACGGGAGGCAGCAGUGGGGAAUAUUGCACAAUGGGCGCAAGCCUGAUGCAGCGACGCCGCGUGGGGGAUGACGGCCUUCGGGUUGUAAACUCCUUUCGCUAGGGACGAAGCGUUUUGUGACGGUACCUGGAGAAGAAGCACCGGCUAACUACGUG
rnacentral:rRNA from 1 species